rnacentral:rRNA from 1 species
UACGGGAGGGGCAAGCGUUGUUCGGAAUUACUGGGCGUAAAGGGCGCGUAGGCGGCCUGCUAAGUCGGACGUGAAAUCCCUCGGCUCAACCGGGGAACUGCGUCCGAUACUGGCGAGGCUUGAAUCCGGGAGAGGGAUGUGGAAUUCCAGGUGUAGCGGUGAAAUGCGUAGAUAUCAGAAGGAACGCCGGUGGCGAAAGCGACUCUCUGGCUCGUAACUGACGCUGAAACGCGAAAGCUUGGGUAGCAAACGGG